UACAGAGACUGCAAGCGUUAUUCGGAUUCACUGGGCGUAAAGGGUGCGCAGGCGGCCGUGUGUGUGAGGCGUGAAAGCCCGGGGCUUAACCCCGGAAUUGCACCUCAAACUACACGGCUAGAGCAUUGGAGAGGGUAGCAGAAUUCACGGUGUAGCAGUGAAACGCGUAGAUAUCGUGAGGAAUACCAGAGGCGAAGGCGGCUACCUGGACAAUUGCUGACGCUCAGGCACGAAAGCGUGGGGAGCAAAAGGG
rnacentral:rRNA from 1 species